AUGAGCGCGAUAAGGGCAU
rnacentral:rRNA from 1 species